rnacentral:rRNA from 1 species
AUUGAACGCUUGCGGCAGGCCUAACACAUGCAAGUCGAGCGGGGUUUUCGGACCUAGCGGCGGACGGGUGAGUAAUGCGUAGGAAGCUACCCGAUAGAGGGGGAUACCAGUUGGAAACGACUGUUAAUACCGCAUAAUGUCUACGGACCAAAGUGUGGGACCUUCGGGCCACAUGCUAUCGGAUGCGCCUACGUGGGAUUAGCUUGUUGGUGGGGUAAUGGCCCACCAAGGCGACGAUCCCUAGCUGGUUUGAGAGGAUCAUCAGCCACACUGGAACUGAGACACGGUCCAGACUACUACGGGAGGCAGCAGUGGGGAAUAUUGGAAGAUGGGCGCAAGCCCGAUCCAGCCAUGCCGCGUGUGUGAAGAAGGCCUUCGGGUUGUAAAGCACUUUCAGUAGGGAGGAAGAGUUGAGUGUUAAUAGUACUCAGCUUUGACGUUACUUACAGAAGAAGCACCGGCUAACUCUGUGCCAGCCGCCGCGGUAAGAC